rnacentral:tRNA from 1 species
GCCUGGGUGGCUCAGUCGGUUAAGCGUCUGACUUCAGCUCACAGUCCGUGAGUUCAAGCCCCGCAUCAGGCU